UAGAGUUUGAUCCUGGCUCAGGACGAACGCUGGCGGCGUGCCUAACACAUGCAAGUCGAGCGGAGAAUGCGGACAUGUUUACAUAGAAGUAUUCUUAGCGGCGGACGGGUGAGUAACACGUGGGUAACCUACCUCAAAGAGGGGGAUAGCCUUCCGAAAGGAACAUUAAUACCGCAUAAGCCUGCAGUACCGCAUGGUAUAGCAGGAUAAGGAGCAAUCCGCUUUGAGAUGGACCCACGGCGCAUUAGCUAGUUGGUGAGGUAACGGCUCACCUAGGCGACGAUGCGUAGCCGACCUGAGAGGGUGAUCGGACACAUUGGAACUGAGACACGGUCCAGACUCCUACGGUAGGCAACAGUGGGGAAUGUUGCAAAUGGGCUAAGCCUGAUGCAGCACGCCACGUGAUGAUGAAGCCUUCGGUCGUAAGUUCUUGAUCUGGAUGAUAUGACGUC
rnacentral:rRNA from 1 species